GGGCCUGUAGCUCAGACUGGUUAGAGCGCUCGACUCAUAAUCGAGUAGUCGUGAGUUCAAAUCUCAUCAGGCCCA
rnacentral:tRNA from 1 species